rnacentral:rRNA from 1 species
AGUGAACGCUGGCGGUAUGCCUAACACAUGCAAGUCGAACGGCAGCACAGUAAUAGCUUGCUCUUACGGGUGGCGAGUGGCGGAUGGGUGAUGGAUACAUCGCCAUCUACUUUUUCGUGGGGGAUAACGUAUGGAUACUUACGCGAAUACCGCAUACGACCUACGGGUGAAAUCAGGAGAUCUUCCGACGUUGCGCGAUUGAAUGACCCGAUGUCGUAUUAGCUAGUUGGCGGGGUAACAGCCCACCAGGGCGUCGAUCCGUAGCUGGUCUGAGAGGAUGAUGAGCGACACUGGAACUGAGACACGGUCCAGACACCUACGGGAGGCAGAAGUGGGGAAUAUUGGAAAAUGGGCGCAAGACUGAUCCAGCCAUGCCGCGUGGGUGAAGAAGGGCUGCGGGUUGUAAAGCCCUUUUGUUGGGAAAGAAAAGCAGCAGGUUAAAACACCGCUGUUGUGACGGUACCCAAAGAAUAAGCACCGGCUAACUACGUG